AUUGAACGCUGGCGGCAGGCCUAACACAUGCAAGUCGAGCGGAGCGGCGGACGGGCGAGUAAUUCCUAGGAAUCUGCCUGGUAGUGGGGGAUAGCGUCCGGAAACGGGCGCUAAUACCGCAUCCUAUCAGAUGCGCCUAGGUGGGAUUCGCUAGUUGGUGGGGUAGUGGCUUACCAAGGCGACGACCCGUAACGGGUCUGAGAGGAGGAUCAGUCAAACGGGACCGGGGACACGGUCCAGACUCCUACGGGAGGAAGCAGUGGGGAAUAUCGGACAAUGGGCGAAAGCCUGACGCAGCCAGGCGGCGUGUGUGAAGAAGGUCUUCGGAUGGUAAAGCACUUUAAGUUGGGAGGCGUUACCAACAGAAUAAGCACCGGCUAACUUCGUGCCAGCAGCCGCGGUAAUUC
rnacentral:rRNA from 1 species